AUUGAACGCUGGCGGCAGGCCUAACACAUGCAAGUCGGGCGGUAGCACAAAGGAGCUUGCUCCYYGGGUGACGAGCGGCGGACGGGUGAGUAAUGUCUGGGAAACUGCCUGAUGGAGGGGGAUAACUACUGGAAACGGUAGCUAAUACCGCAUAACGUCGCAAGACCAAAGAGGGGGACCUUCGGGCCUCUUGCCAUCGGAUGUGCCCAGAUGGGAUUAGCUAGUAGGUGGGGUAAAGGCUCACCUAGGCGACGAUCCCUAGCUGGUCUGAGAGGAUGACCAGCCACACUGGAACUGAGACACGGUCCAGACUCCUACGGGAGGCAGCAGUGGGGAAUAUUGCACAAUGGGCGCAAGCCUGAUGCAGCCAUGCCGCGUGUGUGAAGAAGGCCUUCGGGUUGUAAAGCACUUUCAGCGGGGAGGAAGGGAGCAGGCUUAAUACGUCUGUUCA
rnacentral:rRNA from 1 species